CAGCGAGGCAGCACAGCUGUGGCCACCAAAUAACAGAGCACGAAUUCAGUAUCUUAAUAGAGAGGAUCUCGGCAGAAAACUGCACAGAAAGGUACAUCAGAUAGUCACCGGCCGCUUCAUCCCUUCCAACGGAGUAGGAAAAGACAGAGAGCACCUCCCCAGCUAAGACGCCCAGGUGAAGGACAUGUUCUAAGAUAAACACCAACAUCUGGAGACGGACACCCCUUCAAGGAUG
rnacentral:lncRNA from 1 species